GCGGUGCGAGGGCGGGGCCAGGCGGUGGCCUGGAAGCCCGGAGCCUCAGCGCUCGCCCCUGCUCUGCCUAAGUGUCUAGAGAGCUGAGUGGGUUGCCUCGGAUCGGCCAGGCCUGGAUAUCAGCGAACAGAUGCGGAUUUCCACCAGGGGGCGCUAGGACGCCACGACCUUUCACUAUGUGCACCAGGGGGCGCUGCCGCCCGCCUUGGCCAUCCCGGGCUGGGAAGUCCGACCCUUCGAUUAAGCCCCGCCUGAUUGGGAAAGGCUCUGAGAAACUAUUUGCAUGAUCUUGAAAGAGCUGUGCUGAAUGGUUGAGGUAGGUAAGCCGAAUGUGAAACAGGCUCUCUCAUUGGCCUAAAUUCCCCCCCUCGAUCUGCGUCGCCAUCCCGGCCCUGCUGGACCCCGGGGUCAGUAGGAAGCCGCGGGGUGGUGGCGAGAGAGGACCCAGGUGUCCUGGCAGUGGGCGCCGCGGGGCACACGCUGGGCCAAGGUGCAGGCGGCCAGGGUGGGAGACUGUUCGCCCCGCCCUGAGUACUCCUAUCUUGUUUCUCCACCUGUUCGGGAGUUGGAGAUGUGCACCUAAAGGAGG
rnacentral:lncRNA from 10 species